rnacentral:rRNA from 1 species
UACGGAGGGUGCGAGCGUUGUCCGGAAUCACUGGGCGUAAAGGGCGCGUAGGUGGCCCGUUGAAGUCUGCGGUGAAAGCCCGGCGCUCAACGCCGGGUCGGCCGUGGAUACUCUCGGGCUCGAGCUUACUAGAGGCAGAUGGAAUUCCGGGUGUAGCGGUGGAAUGCGUAGAGAUCCGGAAGAACACCGGUGGCGAAGGCGGUCUGCUGGGGUAAUGCUGACACUGAUGCGCGACAGCGUGGUGAGCAAACAGG